AUAACGCUUGGCUGGGAAUCUCAAGGAGAGGAGGGGGAGCAGGGGGGGAGGGGUCGUGAGUUCCGCAAGGACCACAAAGAAGUGGGGGGGGGAAGAAAUGGAAAGGAAGAGGAAUUCUUCCGGCUCAGGACUUGCGCUAUGACCCGGGAGCUCUGGGGAUCGAUGGGACAACCCGCCUCCCCCCCCCCCUCCCCCGAGCUCUACACGGAGGUCAUCAGCUCCCCCGAUCCCACUGGAGUUCGGGAUGGGGAUGGGGGGGGGUGAUCAGAUGGACUGAUGGGAUUCACGGAGGACCGGAAGGCUAAGCAAGGAGUGUGAGUGUUUGUGUGCGUGUGUGUGUUUCCUUGAUUUCAAGUUUAACAGGAGCAGCAGUGGGCCUACAUGGGGAUCAACGCUCACCCCUGACUCGGUGGGACAAGCAGGGGGCUGUCUGUUGCCUCGCCAUCGGAGGAGGAGGGGGGGGGGGGGAGAGAUGUGCCGAGAUGGUCUUGUUUGUGUGCGUGUGUCCGUGCUCGUCCGAGUUCCCUGCACAGAGCCCGGAUCUGUCCCAAAGAGCAUCUCCGUGAUUAAUCGGACUUCAGGAUGGAGGGAGAGAGAGAGAGGCGGCCGCCUUACUAUUUAACCUGGGCUGGUGACUGCAUUGCAUGGCCUUAAAAAAAAACCACUCGGGAAGCUGAGCGAGCCUCUUCAGCUGUGCAGGCUGAGACCGUCGCUCUUUUUAUAAAGCUGUUGUCCUUGACAGCAUGCUCCAUUGGGUUUAUUUAUUGUUUUUAGCCUGGCAUUGGACUCUCCCUAUGUUCUGUACCCCUCUGGACAGCGGAGACGUUGUCACACUCAAAAGAGCAUGAGGUAGAGACGCCGUUCCGGGUGUUUGACCAGGGCAGUUGGCUCUCACCUCUGCGGGCGGCGGCCUCGACGACAUCUCCCCGAAAUCCCUGUGAUGUUUGUGAAUUCAGGGUUACGCUUUGCAAAGGGCGAAAAUCUGAGUUGUUGUUUUUUUUUCCCAACUGGGGAGCUUUCCCUUUAGAAAAGUCCCCAUUCUUGUGGGGGAGGGGGCGGGGAUGUGAGGAGAGGGAGAUGCGUUGCCGGGAUGGAAUCGGGUCUCUCCCAGCGUGAUGUGGGGACGUCAGCAGAAGGGUAACUAGAGUGCCCCCAGAAGUGCAAGCCAGCCAGAGUGCCCAGGUAUGGAAUUUCAUCGGCUGGAUCGGAGAUGAUUUCCCUGUGCGCAUUCCCGACUGCGUGAGAACAGACACUCCCUUCCAUUUAAGUUUCAAAGAAGCAGCCAAAGUGCGUCACUGAUCCCUCCCCUGUGCCCUUGGAGCCAAGCCAGUCUGGUUAUUCCGUUCUGGAGCUGUACCCCUGAAACCUAUCCCCCCCACCACCCACCUUGGAGAGCCACGCUGAUCCAGUUUGAGGAGAUCACCUCCGUUCGGUGACCCGCUUGGCUGCGGUCUCCGGUCUCCGGUCGCUUCAGGGAGAGCCGAGGCGUGUUCCCCGGUCCGAUCUCCUGUGGCCCGGUGUCGUCCGGGCCGGUUUGUCCUUGCUCGCGGUGUCGAGGCCCCCCGAUUGCGAGAGGACGCAACCACCAAAGACGCGCUACCAAAUUCCCUCAUUUCCUGCAUUCCUCACCUCCUGCAUAGGGCCAGUGUCUCGUCUCCUCUCUCCUCUCACCCCUGUGGGAAAGAGCUCUGGGAUCUUCGGAGCACAUUCCCCUUCUUCCCUGGUUUCAAGUUCGGAUGGUUGCCCCCCCCCGAUCCGAGCGCAGUUUCGGCGUGGAGAGCCGCGGUACCUUUGAGUUGUUUUUUCGAGGGCCCUGUUCUGCGUCCGGGGUGCGAUUUCCCCCCCAAAGGGGCUCUUUUAUUCCCGUCGUCACGAAAGGAUCGAUCACCCAGGGAAGGGAGGGCAUCGGAACAGAGGAUCCCCAUGUCGGGGGGCUCCCAUCUGCUGUCCUUCCCGCCCCGGAACGUCAUGGGUUGCAGCUCGAGCGAAGCAGAGCCCGUGAGCCGAGGUCUGGGCGUCUCUCCCAGAUCACGUCACCCCCGCAUGACGAAAUCGGAGCCGGGGGGCGACUCCCAGCCGGGACAGGAAUCCCCCAACCCCUCCCCCCCCUGCCAGUGCCACUCGCUGGCUCAUGUGUCCGGCCUCCUGUCCCGGCUGAGACGUGGACCCAACCAAAACUCGAGGUGCGUCCAGCCCCCCUGUACGCUUCGUCUCCGGCAAUCCUGAUUCAAAUGCCGGAGACGUCUCCCAGCAGAACCAGAUAGAGGGGAUGGAUGGGGAGAUCGGGUAAAUGGCUGUUCCUGUUCUGGGGGGCUGCCCCCUGCUGCCGGAACAGGGGUACUGCAUUGCCUUGGCCAUCCUGCCGCCUUGGACAAAGUCACAUUGGGGGGAAUCCCAGCCAACAGCCGACUGCUGUGAACGAGGGGCGUGGGCCCCUCCAGUCCGAUCCUGUCCCGUGGACAUUUCCCACAAGGCCGCAAGGUGGGCGGCGUGGGUGUGCACCACAAAUGAUGGUCCAGCUGUCAUAUCUGGGGGGGGGGCAAAGAACUCGGGAUUGGGGUUCCCUGCUCUUGAGAAGGUUUCCCCCCCCCGAACGUGCCCGGUUCUCCGACCCUCCCCUCUCUGUGUUUCUGUGCUGGACUUCCUCGGUUCGAUUGAAUACGAGGAGGUGGAGGUUGUUGUUGUGGUGGUGGGGGGCACCCUAAUAGACGCAAAUGGGGGGGGUGGGGAACUAGAGUAAGUGCACUGUCCGUUGUGUUCAAGAAGUUGUGCGAUUGCUAGGUCAGUGACUGUGCGUCCGGGAACUGGAUUCCCAGUGCUGACUGUCCUCAGACACUCACACCUCCUAGUACACCUGCACAGCACUCUGGGAGGGGGUGUCUGCAGGAAAUUACAUGCGUGUCCAUUUUUCGCCACUUGGGGGGGGGGACUUGUGGUCUCAGCUCUGCUCGUCUUCUCUCUGUAUUCCGCAGCACAAUACUGCGUUUUGCACACUUUCUACGGUACAGCUGCACCCUGCAGUCUGGUGGUCUACCAUCGGCAUAACGCUCUGGUCCUGCAGUACUUCGCCACAGAGCGUGCUGCACCGGAAAUAUUCGACACCGGAGGCGGGAGGGCUGGUGGAUUUGUUAUUUGUUUGUAAUGAGGUGUAGGCUUGGACAAUCUUAGCUUGUAGGGCUAACUGGGUUUGUGCUAUUUAAUUAUUCAGUUCAACUAUUUAUUAAAUUGUUAAAACAAAAAGUGUUGCCUUUUGGUUUCCGAUUUUUCGGUUCUAUCCCCCACCCUCCAACAAAAGCUUUUUUUUUCUAUGUCAAAAGUUUUUAUAUGUAUUUUUUACACUAUUAAAGACGUCAGAAAUUGCACGA